UCUUACAGAUGAGCAAAGAAAGUGGUUUCUUGAGAUGGAAUCUACUCCUGGUGAAGAUGCCAUGAA
rnacentral:pre_miRNA from 1 species